GAUAAUGAAGUUGGAACCAGACAAUGGGUGGAAUUUUGCAAACCUGAAACGAAGAAGAAUCAAAAGGCAAACUCAAACGGGGGUUAGCAAAAACAUUCCUUACUUUUUCUUGUUUGCUUUCUUCACUUGUUUCUUUUGCAAACUCUUUUUCUUUUCCACUCGAUUUUUUUUCAAGCUCUCUUUCAAUUUCUUUUUCCACUCUUUCUUUUUCUU
rnacentral:lncRNA from 1 species